UACGGAGGGUGCAAGCGUUAUCCGGAUUUACUGGGUUUAAAGGGUGUGUAGGCGGACUAUUAAGUCAGGGGUGAAAUCCCGAGGCUCAACCUCGGAACUGCCUUUGAUACUAUUAGUCUUGAAUGUUGUUGAGGUGGGCGGAACGGGUCAUGUAGCGGUGAAAUGCAUAGAGAUCAGGUGGAACACCGAUGGCGAAGGCAGCCUCCUGGACGGGUACUGACGCUGAGGCGCGAAAGCGUGGGGGGCGAACGGG
rnacentral:rRNA from 1 species